ACGUAGGGUCCGAGCGUUGUCCGGAAUUACUGGGCGUAAAGCGCGCGCAGGCGGUCUGGUCAGUCGAUGGUGAAAGCCCCACGCUCAACGUGGGAAGGUCCGUCGAGACGGCCAGACUGGAGGCAGGGAGAGGUCGGUGGAAUUCCGGGUGUAGUGGUGAAAUGCGUAGAGAUCCGGAGGAACCCCGGUGGCGAAGGCGACUUGCUGGGCCUGAACUGACGCUCAGACGCGAAAGCAUGGGGAGCGAGCGG
rnacentral:rRNA from 1 species